rnacentral:rRNA from 1 species
UACGGAGGAUGCAAGCGUUAUCCGGAUUUAUUGGGCGUAAAGCGUCCGCAGGUGGUUUGACAAGUCUGCUGUUAAAGCGCAGGGCUUAACUCUGUAACGGCGGUGGAAACUGUCAGACUUGAGUAUGGUAGGGGUAGCGGGAAUUCCCAGUGUAGCGGUGAAAUGCGUAGAUAUUGGGAAGAACACCAGCGGCGAAAGCGCGCUACUGGGCCAUUACUGACACUCAUGGACGAAAGCUAGGGGAGCGAAAGGG